rnacentral:rRNA from 1 species
GACGAACGCUGGCGGCGUGCCUAAUACAUGCAAGUCGAACGCAGUGGGGACGGGUGAGUAACACGUGGGUAACCUCCCAUCAGAGGGGAUAACACUUGGAAACUGGUGCUAAACCGCUACUGAUGGAUGGACCCGCGGUGCAGUAGCUAGUUGGUGAGGUAUCGGCUCACCAAGGCCACGAUGCAUAGCCGACAUGAGAGGAUGAUCGGGCACACUGGGACUGAGACACGGCCCAGACACCUACGGGAGGCAGCAGUAGGGAAGCUGCGGCAAGGGACGAAAGUCUGACCGAGCAACGCAGCGUGAGUGAAGAAGGUUUUCGGAUCGUAAAACUCUGUUGUUAGAGAAGCGGUAUCUAACCAGAAAGCCACGGCUAACUACGUGCCAGCCGCCGCGGUAAUUC